AACCCAUGGUGAAGGCAUCGUCUCAAGAGAUCCUUGUAUCUCUCCCAUGCAUUGUAGAGUGUCUCUAAAUCCAUCUGCACAAAAGAAGAGAUAUCAUUACGUAAUUU
rfam:Gossypium arboreum cultivar AKA8401 contig_8986_7, whole genome shotgun sequence.